ACUUUGCUCUGUGUGUGUUUGGUGGAAAUAUUAUUUUUAAACAGCCAUUUACUCUGAAAAAAUAUGAUUUUGCAUUAAAUUAGUUUUAAAGUUAAGGGAUAUAUAUAAGACCUUUUUAUUAACAAGUUGAUGAGAUGAGCAUUAGUAUACCUAUAGGAAGUUUUUGAAUGAGUGCCAAUUCUGAAUUUACAAAUCAACAUUUCUUCUCUCCAGCUUUCUUUAGCUUGCCCAUGGUGAUGUGAAGAUGAGAAGAAAUAGCAAGGCCCAACCAGUUCUUCAUCUGGAGACAGUUCAACGUUCUGCAAACCAGCUGGAGUGCAAUGGCACAAUCUCAGCUCACUACAAGCUCCACCUCCCAGGUUCAAGCAAUUCUCCUGCCUCAGCCUCCAGAGUAGCUGGGAUUACAGAUCUUCAGGAAUUUUACUGGGAUAAUUAUCCAAAUAAAUUGCAAGCAUUCUAUCCAAAUGGAGCUCUUUCUGAGAUGAAGAGAAUUCUCAAUGUCAAGAUUUGAACAAGAAGAGAAUGGAAUACACAAUAUGGACAUCCAUAAAAAUUCAUCAGAGAGCAUUUUACUACUGAGCUGCAAAGGUAGGAAAAAUAAAUUUUUUUUGGUUAGAAAAUAUACUUCUUUCAUCUGCGUUUCAAUAAUUUAUUCCCCUUGUUAGAUAUACAUGGAAUUGAUAUUGCUUAUUCUGACUAAGUGAAAAGUGUUAUUUCUACUUACUGCUCAAUUAGAAACAUGUAGUGUUUAAUUGUCAGUUUGAAUUUUUCUUUCAUACUAUUACAGUUUAUAUUUUACUAUAGGCAGAAUUUCCUCUUUAUCCUAAAUUUUGAUAUUCUCCAUAAUUUCAUCGUGCCUUGACAUUGCUGUAUAUAAUUUCUAUACAUCAGGAAGGCAAUUCUGUGUGCAUGUGUGUGUGUAUAUAUAUAGUUAGAAGUUAGAAACUGAAACUCUUUUUUGUCUACCAUCAUUUCAUAUUUUUCUUGCUAUUUCAAACCUAUAAUUUUUAAAGAAACGACUAACGUAAUCAUUCAUAGAAUAUGCUGUCAGUAACUUAACAAUAUAAAUGUUAACAUGGAGGCAUUUAGUUCAGCAUUUGCUUUACUUAAUAGAGUGCAGAAAAUGUGGCCCUUUUCUCAGUUAGGGUGUAUGUGAAGAUAAAUUUAGAAUUUCUAGACUAGUAAAUACUUCUCUGAUAAUAACUUAAUUAUAGCUAUUUCAAACCAAAUUGUUUAAUUGUGGUGAAUCAUAUGUAAAUUGUUCAGAUGUAGGUCAACACCCACGCCCACAUUCUAGCACCUCUUUCCUAAUUCAAGACAACUUUGCAGUGCCUAAAAGAGCUGAACAGUGCAGAUUAGAGACAUAAGACAAAAAAAAAAAAAAAA
rnacentral:lncRNA from 1 species